rnacentral:rRNA from 1 species
GGGGGCAAGUGCACACCCAUCAUCCUCAUCUCUCCACCUGUGCACCUCUUGUAGACUUGGAUUAACUUUCCGAGGCAACUCGGUCGGGAGGAUUGCUGGCACUCGCUGGCUAUCCUUGCAUUUCCAGGUCUAUGUUUUUCAUAUACCCCAUUGUAUGUAACAGAAUGUAUCAUUGGGCCUUGUGCCUAUAAAAACUAUACAACUUUCAGCAACGGAUCUCUUGGCUCUCGCAUCGAUGAAGAACGCAGCGAAAUGCGAUAAGUAAUGUGAAUUGCAGAAUUCAGUGAAUCAUCGAAUCUUUGAACGCACCUUGCGCUCCUUGGUAUUCCGAGGAGCAUGCCUGUUUGAGUGUCAUUAAAUUCUCAACCUUUAUCAGCUUUUGUUGAUAAUGGCUUGGAUAUGGGGGUCUAUUUUGCUGGCUUCUUCACAGAUGGUCAGCUCCCCUUAAAUGCAUUAGCCGGUGCCCCGUGUGGACUGUCUAUUGGUGUGAUAAUUAUCUAUGCCGUGGACAUCUGCAAUCAUAUGGGUGUGCACUGCUUCCAACCGUCUGUUCAUUCAGACAAUACAUGACAAUUGACCUCAAAUCA